rnacentral:rRNA from 1 species
AUGGACUUUCAAGCACUCUUAGAAGGACCCCAUGAUUUGGACGGAUGGCUGGAAGGUGCAUUCAUUCCUACUUAUACAAAGGAGGCGAGUUUAACUCAUGAGAAUGAAUGUAAAUUUUAUUCACCAACUAGUGAUCAUGGCAUGAAAAUACAAACAUCUAUGCCUGAGAAAGUGGAGGCCCCUGCCAACACGACUCUCAACGGCGGAGGAGGAGAAGAGGAGGAGAUGAGAGAGGGAGGAGGGGCCGUGUACCCGCCGCCUUGUCACUGGAGAAGUAGAAGGCUUGCGGCCACCACCACACCAUCGGAGGAGGGGAAGUGCGAUCUACUAGGUCGUGUGAGAAGUGCACGUGAGAGAGGAUCAUGGUCGAUAAACAUAGAACCAUGCUCCCGGGACCUGCGUUCUGCAAGUGAAGGCCAAAAACAUGGGAGCAGAAGAAACAAUGACCAUUGGACAUCUGAAGAGGUGAAAGAACUAGUGGAUGGCGUAUCUGUACAUGGGGUUGGACCAUCGACUAAGUUGAAGAAUGAAAGGUUUCCAAUAUCAGUUCGGACAGCAGUGCAUCUAAAGGAUAAGUGGAGAAACCUAGUGAAAGCCGUCACGGGAAAUGUGAAAAGAAGGAUCUCGCCUCGUCUAGAUAAGGAUUGCAUCAAAAAGAUCAAGAGGCUAGCAGCUGAUUACCCUCGAAAAUGA